rnacentral:rRNA from 1 species
CGGGGUCCAUGCAAUGCGCUAUACCUGACCAGCCAUGCCGCGUGAGGAUGACGGCCUUCUGGGUUGUAAACUCCUUUUAUAUGGGGGUAAACUUACGCACGUGUGACUUGCUGAAGGUACCAUAUGAAUAAGGACCGGCUAACUCCGUGCCAGCAGCCGCGGUAAUAAUUAA